rnacentral:tRNA from 1 species
AUUAUUUUGGCAGAUUAGUGCAAUAGAUUUAGAAUCUAAAAAAGUAGAUUAAAUUACAAAUAAUA